AUGUUGAAUACAUCUAAUCUGAACAAUUUCACAUUUGCUUCUCUGAUAAGUAAGGAUAUGGAUGACCAUCUGAAGGUAUGCAAGUUUCUUCCCAAACUUAACGACGAGAUACUAGGUGAAAGAUAUGCUCUCUACAAGGAAAGGUUGAGCAGCCUAGAGAAUUUAGUACUGAUCAUGGUGAUUGCGAUGCCGGAGGUCGCCGAGGUGGAGGACCUUGACGUCACCGUCUGGAGGACUCGACGCCACCGUCUCGAGGUUGCCGAGGUGGAGGACCUCGAUGCCACCGUCUCGAGGUUGCCAAGGUGA
rnacentral:rRNA from 1 species